rnacentral:lncRNA from 1 species
AUGAUCCCGAGGAAGGGGAAGGAGCAGGGGAGGAAAAUCCUGAGGAAAACCCGGAAGAAAAUCCCCAAAAUCCUGAGGAAAAUCCCCAAAAUCCUGAGGAAAAUCCCCAAAAUCCUGAGGAAAAUCCUGUGGAAAAUCCUGAGGAAAAACCCCAAAAUCCUGAGGAAAAUCUUGAGGAAAAACCCAAAAAUUUGGAAGAAAAUUUUAAGGAAAAUCCUCAACGUUUCGAGGAAAAUCCCGAAAAUUUCGAGGAAAAUCCUCAAAACCUCAAGAAAAAUCUUCAAAAUCUCGAGGAAAAUCUUGAGGAAAAUCUUCAAAAUCUUGAGGAAAACCCCAAGAAUUUUGAGGAAAAUCCCCAAAAUUUUGAGGAAAAUCUCGAGGAAAAUCCUCAAAAUCUCGAGAAAAAUUCCCAAAAUCUCGAGGGAAAUCUUCAAAAUUUCGAGGAAAACCCCAAAAGUUCUGAGAAAAAUUCUGAGGAAAAUCCUCAAAACUUCGAGGAAAACCCCAAAAAUUUCGAGGAAAACCCCAAAAAUUUUGAGGAAAAUUGUCAAAAUCUUGAGGAAAAUCCUCAAAAUUUCAAGGAAAAUCCCCCAAAUUUUAAGGAAAAUCCCAAAAAUCCCGAGGAAAUUCCAGCAGCUCCAAGCCCGGAAAGGGAAAAAGACACAAAUCCCGAGGUGGAAAAAACGGAAAAUUCCCAAAAUCCCGAAGAAUUCCUGGAAAAAUUCCCCAGGGAAAAGCGACAGGAGGAAAGAGAAAAUUCCGGAAUGUUCCAGGAAUGAAAUUCCUGAGGGGAAAAAGGACCCAAAAAAAAUUCCAAAAUCUUCUUUGGAUGUGUCGGAUCCGUGUCCGUGGAUGUUCCCCCCCGGCCCAGCCCCAAAUCCCGGGAAUUCCUGGGGAAAAAUUGGAAUUUGGUUGGAUUUUUUUGGGAAUUUCUGGGAGAAAAUGGAAUUUUUUUGGAUUUUUUGGGGGGAUUUCUGGGAAAAAAUGGAAUUUUUUUGGGAAUUCCUGGGGGAAAAAAGGAAUUUUGUUUGA